UACGAAGGGAGCUAGCGUUGUUCGGAAUCACUGGGCGUAAAGCGCACGUAGGCGGAUGUGUCAGUCAGAGGUGAAAUCCCGGAGCUCAACUUCGGAACUGUCUUUGAUACAGCACGUCUUGAGUCCGAUAGAGGUGGGUGGAAUUCCUAGUGUAGAGGUGAAAUUCGUAGAUAUUAGGAAGAACACCGGUGGCGAAGGCGGCCCACUGGAUCGGUACUGACGCUGAGGCGCGAAAGCUGGGGGAGCAAACGGG
rnacentral:rRNA from 1 species